rnacentral:rRNA from 1 species
UACGUAGGUGGCAAGCGUUGUCCGGAUUUAUUGGGUUUAAAGGGUGCGUAGGCGGCCCUGUAAGUCAGUGCUGAAAUAUCCCAGCUUAACUGGGAGGGUGGCAUUGAUACUGCGGGGCUAGAGUACAGAUGAGGUAGGCGGAAUUGACGGUGUAGCGGUGAAAUGCGCAGAUAUCAGGAAGAACACCCGUGGCGAAGGCGGCUCUCUGGGACGGUACUGACGCUGAGACGCGAAAGCGUGGGGAGCAAACAGGG